AUUCAUCUUCCUGGAUUCCCAGCCGUUUUUUUCUCAAGUUUUCAUUCUUCAACACCUCCUACCUAAUUAGGGAGAUAAUAAUGGUGGCAUAGAACACAGACCUCAUCCAGGUUAUGGUCAUGGUCAUGAUGUUGCUUCAGUCAUGGUCACGGCUGAUAAAAGUAUAUUAUCAGUUUUUUUUUAUGCUGCCUUAGUAUCUCAGUUAAUAUUUUAAAAAUAAAAAGUACGUCUAUAAAUAUAAAGGAUAUACUCCUUUUUAGAAGAUUAUUUAUGGAUUGGGCUUGAAUUUAUGAACCUUUAUAAAUAUUUUAUAAAUGAUUUUAAACAUUUUUAAAUGAUUUAUAAUGUCAGUUUUAGUUUUUCAGAAAUUUAAAGUAUUUAUGAAAAUAAUUAUAUCUUAAAGAUAAAUUUAAAUAAUGAUAUCAAAUUUGGGGUAAAAGCUAAAAUUAAAAUUCUCUCAGAAAUCAUAACAUACAUUUGUUUCUCCAAAAAUUCUAAAAAAGGAUGUUCAUGUCUAAUUGCAGCUUCUAAUGUUUUUUCCUUCCAUAUAUUUAAAUUUAUUUUUUUCAAAAGAAAUUUUGGUUCAUACACUAUUAUGCGUUGUAUUUAAUUAGAAAACAGUUUAUCCAUAAUUGUGUUUCAAUUUACAGAAGUCCAAAGCCACAUAAGACUUAUUUACUAUAAUGUUAUCAAAAUUAUAUUAGAACAAAUUUACAAAAACAACAUCUAUACAUUCUAAGAAGAGUUUUUUUUUGUUUAUCCUAGAGGGCGUGGGUUCACCAGCUAAUUAUCUGUCAUAUCAUAUUUAUUUAUUUUUAGAAAAAGCAAAAUAACAAAAAUUUGCUAAGUUAUAUUCUGUAUUUAAAAAUUUAAAAAAGUACAAAUAAAUUAAAAAAAUAGUACUAGCUGCAAAAAAUGAGUUUUUUUAAAACAUUAUUAACGCUGUCAGUAAAAUUACACUAAACUCUAAAGUCUAACUAUUAAACCUUAAACCCUUGGGUAAAUCCUAAACUCUAAAUCGUAAAAACUAAACAAUAAAUCAUAAGCACUAAAUCCUAAACGCUGUCAGCAAAACUCUAAAUCUUAGCCCUAAACCCUAGGGUUUAGGGUUUACCCAAGGGUUUAGAGUUUACCCAAAGAUUUAGGGUUUACCCAAGCAUUUAGGGUUUACCCAAGGGUUUAGGAUUUACCCAAAAAUUUAAGGUUUAGUUUUUAGGGUUUAAUGUUUAAGAUUUAGGGUUUAUUGUUUUGAUGACGGUGUUAACAAUGUUUAAAAAAAUUUGUACUAUUUAUUUAUUUAUUUUUACUUUAAAAAAAAACAUAACAUAAUUUGGCAAAUUCUUAUUAUUUUGUUUUCUUUUUUCAACUACUGAAUAUGAGCUCACAGACUUUUAUUGGUCGGUGAAUAAAUAAUUUUUUUAAGAAAUAUCAAAGUACGGAUCAAUAAUUUUUCUAUAUUUAAAUUAUUGGUCACUAAUAAUAGUAUUAUUAUAUCACUUCCAAUCAAUAUUAAUAUUAUUUUAUAAUUUAAUAUUUUUACUAUUUAAUAAUGCAUAGACAAAUUUUAAAUGGUUUCAAAUCUAAAACAGUUAUCAAUCAUCAAUUUUAUAAAAUUUACGUAAAACAAUAAUAAUAAAUGCAGGUGCAUUAUUGAACAAAUUUGUUUGUUCUGAUGUGUUUACUUAUAUGAAAUUUUGAUCCCUAAAAUGUUUCAUACAGAAGUAAAGUUUGCCAAACAUAAUAAAAGAAAAGUAAUUCAAAUUAUCUUCCUAAUUUUACUGUGAUAGUCACGUUACUCUUUUUCAUUUCAUAUAAUAGAAACUUAAUUGAGAUUAAUAUAAAUAAAAUUUUAAAACGAUAAAUAAAAUUUUAAAACUAAAUUUCCUCAUUUAUACAAAAUAUUUACCAUGAAAGUAAAAAUAAUAAGUUGCAAUUGAUUAAGUAAACACAAUUAAUCUAAAAUUAA